AUCAGGGAUCUUUCUCAUCGAUCAAGUUGAGAGAGAGAGAGGGGGGGAGCGGGUGGGAGAUCUGCGAAACCAAAACCUAGCAUGGAGCGCCUCUCGGAGAGAGAGAGACCAAGCAAGCGUGCCAGAGAGGAUCUUGACCACCGCGAUCGGGACCACAAGCACCGAUCCUCCAAGGACGAGAAGCGCCGCGAGUCUGAUCACCACCACCGUCACCGAUCUCGGCUUGGUCACUCUCACAACGAGCGCGAAGGUAGCAGAGACCGGGAUUCGAAGCUUGAGCGUUCUUACGACGACGAGAGGGAAAGGGAAGGGAGCAGAGAGAGAGACCGUCCUAAGCAUCGCGGAGUGAAACGCGGGCUGUUGGAUGCCGAUGACGAGGAUCUUCGCGAGGGAUCUGACGAGGGGGAGGGUUCGUUGGAGAGGCGCCACUCGCAUUCGCACAAGCGGAAGGAGAGAGGAGUAAGCGAAGAGAGGAGUGAUGGUGGCGAGAAGAAGGCUAGGGUUUCGGGGAGAAGGCGGUUUGAGGACAGGGACGAAUUAGAUGGAGAAGAGAGGAAGGAAAGGAAUGACAGGAGGCUUGAGGAUAGAGUGGAAAAAGAAGAGGGGGAUGAAAAUGAUAGCGAUUUUGAAUACAGGAAGCGAGUGGAUGGGAGUGAAUUGAAGGUUCGGGUGAAGGAAGAGGUGAGUGACGAAGAGCAUCUCUGUAAGCCCCGGAGCGCCAACACCGCGAAUGCUAAUGGUUUAUCGGGAAAUGGUGCUGCUCUGGAAUCACUCACCAUGGAGUCCAGGAGUGUGCCUGAGUCCUAUUUCCCCCCUAGUCAUCACAUUCCUACAAAGGUAUCUUCAAUUUCUACCACAAAUGAAAAUAAGGGAGUUAUUAUUACCAGAUCUCAUGAGGUUCCUGGAAAAUCUAGUACAGAUGGGACAUCUUCAGCUGCUGGAAAAAGUGGAAGUCUAUCUCUUGAUGCUUUAGCUAAAGCUAAGAAAGCUUUACAAAUGCAAAAAGAUUUGUCAGAGAAGCUGAAGAAGAUUCCCUUUUUGAACAAGGGUUCUAGCUCAAUUCCAGAUGGUAGCUUACGCUUGGAAUUGAAGGAGGGACUGAAAGCACCAUCUGUCAUUAGUGGAACAGGGCAAGGGCCAAAUGUUUUGACUGCCCCUACCAAUGUUUCAGAGGGGAUGACAUCUACUUCAUUGACCUUACCUUCUGCAUCUGCUGCAGCUUUUGUGAAGCCACCAGUCACUGGUCCUAGUGCUUCUGCAGGCCUCACGACUCUACCCAAUAUUGAGGCAGUAAAACGUGCACAGGAACUUGCUGCCAGGAUGGGGUUUCGUCAGGACCCGGAGUUUGCUCCUCUCAUAAACCUAUUUCCAGGUCAGACGGCGGCAACAGAGUUCGUUGUUCCGCAGAAGCCAACCAAGGCCCCUGUUCUUCGUCUUGAUGCACUUGGUAGAGAGAUAGAUGAACAUGGAAAUGUGGUGAAUGUGACAAAACCAAGCAACCUCAGCACUUUAAAGGUCAACAUUAACAAACAGAAAAAGGAAGCUUUUCAGAUUCUUAGACCUGAAUUGGAUGUUGAUCCAGAGACAAAUCCUCAUUUUGAUGAAAGGAUGGGUAUUGACAAAACUAAGCUUCUAAGGCCUAAGAGGAUGACUUUCCAGUUUGUUGAAGAAGGCAAGUGGUCAAAAGAGGCCGAGCAUAUUAAAUUGAAGAGUAAAUUUGGAGAAGCACAGGCGAAAGAGCAGAAAGCAAAACAGGCACAGUUGGCUAAGGCAAAGGCAGCACCUGAUAUUAAUCCAAAUCUGAUUGAGGUAGCAGAGAGAAUUAUCAUCAAAGAAAAACCUAAGGACACGAUUCCUGAAAUCGAGUGGUGGGAUGCGACUCUUUUGCAAGCUGGUGCUUAUGGUGACAUAGUAGAUGGAACCAUGGUAGAAGAUAAACUGAAGAAGGAGAAGAUCACUAUCUAUGUACAACACCCACGUCCGAUUGAGCCCCCGGCUGAGCCAGCUCCUACACCACCUCAACCCUUGAAGUUAACCAAGAAGGAGCAGAAGAAACUUCGUACUCAGCGACGGCUGGCUAGGGAGAAAGAUAAGCAAGAGAUGAUUAGGCAAGGCCUGAUUGAGCCUCCAAAGCCAAAAGUUAAAAUGAGCAAUUUGAUGAAAGUUCUUGGUUCUGAAGCGACCCAAGAUCCAACUAGGCUUGAAAAGGAAAUCAGGAGUGCAGCUGCUGAACGGGAGCAAGCUCACAUUGACAGGAAUAUUGCUCGCAAACUCACUCCUGCUGAGCGCCGUGAAAAGAAAGAGCGGAAGCUUUUUGAUGAGCCAAAUACAGUGGAGACCAAUGUAUCAGUUUACCGGAUCAAUGACCUGUCACACGUACAGACCCGCUUCAAAAUUGAUGUUAAUGCCCAAGAGAACCGCCUGACUGGAUGUGCUGUGAUCUCUGAUGGUAUUACUGUUGUGGUUGUUGAAGGUGGAAACAAGUCCAUAAAGAGGUAUGGAAAGCUCAUGCUUAGGCGCAUAAACUGGGCUACUGCUGUAAAAGAGGAGGAUGAAGAUGGUGAUGAUAAACCUGCUAAGAGGUGUGUCUUAGUCUGGCAAGGAAGUGUUGCCAAAUCGAGUUUCAACAGAUUUACUGUUCACGAGUGUAUGACUGAAGCUGCUGCACGGAAGAUCUUUGCCGAUGCUGGUGUUGCUCAUUACUGGGAGCUAGCCAUUAACUUUUCAGACGAUCAAACAUAGUUGGAGACGCUGCAUUGGGGGGAGUAUUUUCGAUUCACUUUGGAUUUUUCUUUUCAGCUUGAGCUGCUUUGUCAAUCAACCUGUUGCCUCACGCACGUCUGUCUUGGCCAGAGCGGACCGAGAAGGAGAAGAAAGCCGGCAAAUCCAAAAACGCUAGGCCUUCUCAUCCAGGUGGGGAAUAUACCUGCUGCCUGUGACCCUGAUUAUCAUCCAAAAAAGGUUAUCGACUUUGUUGUUGAUGGCUAUAGUUCGGAUGAUUAAUAUAUAUUUUGUAAGUAAAACAUGAGACUUGAGAGGGCGAGUAAUAAUUUGGCCCCAAUGUGGAUCCUCCAACUAAUAAAAUUCAAUUAUUAUAGACUA